GCUUUGAUAUGCAAUCUACUUCGGUGCAUCAGACUGUCCAGACCUCCGGCCCCGAAGUAUAACAGUCUAUGGGAUGUGGAUUUGGUUAUCCGAUUUCUUCAAAACUGGCCUGACAAUGCGGCCUUAUCUCACAAUUAACAGCCAAACUGACACUUCUACUAUGUUUAGUUUCGUUUCGACGAGUCUCAGACGUUAGAGCCUUCAACGUG